AUGAAUGGAAAUGCAUGCGGCUUUCUGGGAAUGUCUCUGAAAACCAGUUUUAAUUACGCACAGGAAGAUUUUAAUCACUGUGUGGUUUUUCUGUUUUUAAUGACUUACUGGAAAGCACAUUGGUGGACAGAUGUUGAAAUUAAUUGUGUUAUAUAAAUAAAUUGUCAUUGUAAUACAGUCAGCAACAGAAACUCUUCAUCAGAACUCUCAGAAGAUUCUUAAUAAUAACUUUCAGAAGUCAUUGACAAACAUUACGAAACUCAUUCCAACUUUCAAAUCUGAUUUGAUGAGCGGCAUUCAAAAGAUUAUUUCACCAGUUUGCUAAUUUAAAUGUUACUAAUUCUCAUAAUUUCUGUCAAGAAGUGUAUUGUCAAUAAAUAACCCUACACUGCAAAAAAUGUUGGUUUUUUUACUCAGUAUUUUUGUCAUUAUCCAGUACAAAUAUCAGAACAUUCUUAAAUCAAGAUGCACUUACGCGAAGCAAAAUGACUUUUAAGAAAUUAAGAUUUGCUUUCUGAAAAAUGUAUCAAAAUUUUGUUUUGUAUGGAGCAAGUAAAAUAAUCUUGUUUUGCCUUAGAAUAAAUUUUUUUUUCCUCAGUGACAGUUUUUUUGUACAUUUUAUCAUCACACACACCUUUCCUGUGCUGAAAUCACUUUACAUUUAAUGCUUAAAGUCCCCAUUAAAUGAAGUCAGCAUUUUAACAGAAUGUUGCAGUGAAUUAUGCACAUCAUUAUUUUUAAAUUCCUGUGCCCUCAAAUGUUUAAUCAAACAGUAAUUUUCCCUUUCCUUUCCUUUUCGAGCAGUUUCACACAGAUGUUUAAAAGAUCUGACCUUCAUAUAAAUACAGAUCUGAAUGUUCAGUUUACAUGACUUGACAUUUAGUUCACAUUUAUAGCAUAUGUUAUAUUGAAAUCAUAUGAUGAAAUAAUGUUAAAUUGGUGAUUUAUCAUAAAGAGUGAUUAUGAAGUGUUACCAUGAACUUCAGGUUUCUUUAAUAUUAAAUGUUUCUUGAGAUUAAUGAUGAAAAUGAUGAUUGCCUUAUAUGUGCGUUGUAGGCUGGCCUAAUGGUGGACACCCGUCUGAAGGAGCUGAUGCCCACAAUGCCGGAGAUUUUCAUCUAAGCCAGACACGCAGCUUGUACGAGUGUCCUGUCUGUAAGACCCAACAGCGCGGCCCUUCAGCCUGAAGACCAAACAGAAUCCCUCGCCGGAGUCGCCCUGCUGCUUCAGAUAUAACCACCUGCUAGCAUUUCACCAGUGUCUUAUUCGCUACUAAUAUGAUGUAACGCACCUUUUUAGAGCAUAGUAUUUUGACUCUAUUUUGCAUUGGUGAGUUCCAAUGCAAACGUUUGCUCAAACGCAGUGUGCCAUACAGCUGAAUAAAAGCACUUCGAUGAAACGCUUUCAUAUUUGUUCAGUUUUUUCUUUCCCAGAUUUGUGUGACUCUGCUCUGCUUCUGUUCUCUGAAAUUUAAAACUGGAAGCCUACAAAUCUCAGUUCUAUCAGAAAGCAGAAAGUGCAACACCUCAGCAGCAGCGAUAAGCCUCUAGGGUCACUUAUAUCUGUUAUUGAGAAAACUUAACAACACGUACUGAGACUGAGCUAUGAAACAGGGCCACAGGGCAACAGAUUAUGUGGAGAAAAGCAAUAAAUCCAUCCGAAAUCCAAUUACAAAGCACCGGGAAACAGAGCUUCAUGUGACACACAGCUUCUGUUGUGCUCUUUAUAUUCAUUUCUCUCGUGUCCCGGCGUAAGGGACAGCAGACAAACACGUUAAAGAAAUAAAUAUGAAACCGACACAAAAUAUAAGGGAACCUUCUUCAUUUGUU
ensembl:lncRNA